GACGAACGCUGGCGGCGUGCUUAACACAUGCAAGUCGAACGGAAAGGCCCUUCGGGGUACUCUAGUGGCGAACGGGUGAGUAACACGUUGGUGAUCUGCCCUGCACUUUGGGAUAAGCCUGGGAAACUGGGUCUAAUACCGAAUAGGACCACGCGCUUCAUGGUGUGUGGUUGAAAGCUUUUGCGGUGUGGGAUGGGCCCGCGGCCUAUCAGCUUGUUGGUGGGGUAAUGGCCUACCAAGGCGACGACGGGUAGCCGGCCUGAGAGGGUGACCGGCCACACUGGGACUGAGAUACGGCGCAGAAUCCUACGGGAGGCAGCAGUGGGGAAUAUUGCACAAUGGGCGCAAGCCUGAUGCAGCGACGCCGCGUGAGGGAUGACGGCCUUCGGGUUGUAAACCUCUUUCACCAGGGACGAAGCGUAAGUGACGGUACCUGGAGAAGAAGCACCGGCCAACUACGUG
rnacentral:rRNA from 1 species